rnacentral:rRNA from 1 species
GAUGAACGCUGGCGGCGUGCCUAAUACAUGCAAGUCGAGCGAACGGACGAGAAGCUUGCUUCUCUGACGUUAGCGGCGGACGGGUGAGUAACACGUGGAUAACCUACCUAUAAGACUGGGAUAACUUCGGGAAACCGGAGCUAAUACCGGAUAAUAUUUUGAACCGCAUGGUUCAAUAGUGAAAGACGGUCUUGCUGUCACUUAUAGAUGGAUCCGCGCUGCAUUAGCUAGUUGGUAAGGUAACGGCUUACCAAGGCAACGAUGCAUAGCCGACCUGAGAGGGUGAUCGGCCACACUGGAACUGAGACACGGUCCAGACUCCUACGGGAGGCAGCAGUAGGGAAUCUUCCGCAAUGGGCGAAAGCCUGACGGAGCAACGCCGCGUGAGUGAUGAAGGUCUUCGGAUCGUAAAACUCUGUUAUUAGGGAAGAACAUAUGUGUAAGUAACUGUGCACAUCUUGACGGUACCUAAUCAGAAAGCCACGGCUAACUACGUG